UUUUAGAGCCAGCCCAUAAGUCCACAAGCCCACACCCGGGCGCCUCUAUCCCGAAACCCUAGCAAGUCAGAGCAGCCGCCUCCAUCUCUCCCGGUCAUCCCAAUCACCCCGUCCGAUCCCGAUCCACACAUUCCAGCCACCACCGUCCCCACUUCGGCGCCUCCUCGUUCCACCUCGACGCCGGUGAGGCAUCCGUCCUGGACCGCACACAAUCGGUGUGGCGGCAGAUCUGGAGUGGCGGCACUCUAUGGCCGCCGGAGACCUUGGUGAUCUACAACAACGCGCAUCGGCAGCUGCUCCCUAUACCAUGGAGUGCGCUCGCAGCUGCUCACCAAGGCACGGCGUGCGGCUCCCAGGCAUCCGCACGCGGGGUAUAUGACUAACCAUGCGACAGGGGGUGGUGCCUCACUUGGCGACCGCGUGUGAAGGAUCCUCACGACGGCGGCCUAUUCCCUGCUCUUUUUUCUACUCCUUGGUCAGAUGUGGUUUUCAGGUGGUGGGCACCGGCAGCGAGUCACUCACCAGAGACGGGGAUCAUCAAACCCCAACAUGCUCGCUGGAAACAGAUCCAUAGCAGCGCCGAUGAUCUCAAGCAGGGUCGACUACAUAGCAAUGUGAUACAGGAGGUAAACAAUCAAGGGACUGAGGACAGCUCAACUCCUGCAUUUCAUCGUGAAUUCGUCAAAUGCAGUCUUUAAUUUACAGCAACAUAGUUCACAAUAUGAUCAUGCUAACAUGAACAAAGUCUGUAGCAUACGCCUGCUGAAUAGCGAGGAACAUAUAAUUGUAUAUUGCUCAGUAAUGACUGAGCAAAGCUAGAAAUGCCAAAGGAAGUAGUUACUUAGGCAACAAAAACCGAUGGGCAGAAUAUUCAUUUCACACAGCGCAGUUUGGAAUAAGACGACAUGCGUUGGCAUUGUUCUCCACUUCAGGACUCUGUAGUACGCCGACUCGUGCUUCUUUUUCUUCUUUACAGCUAGGAUAUCGUAAGGCCGAAGGAAAUAUAUGUCUACAUUUGAUCUUACUUGUCUUUGAUCCAAAGCAGGAUACAUAGCUCAUAUAUAGCAGUAGUAACAAGGAAGAGCCCUGAUUUCCACUGAGAAACUGAUGUAACAACCUCCUUGUCUCCUCCCUAAUGAGCCAAACAUGUUUGACAUUGCAGCGCAGAAUCUGAUAAUAGUCGCAAAAGCGCAGAAUCCGAUAUCAUGUGAAAAAAUAUGUGAUUAUGCCCGUGUUUUAGUUCAGGUGGAUGCCUUUGCCUUGUUGCUUGGUAAAUAUGGCCAUAAUUAUUUGCCCCCUCUAAAUUUUUUUCCUGGGUCCGCCCCUGGCAAUGCGAUUGCUGGGGGCUCGGUGCUGACCUGGGCGUCGCCGGAGAAAAGAUUGAUUGCUGGGGGCUCGGUGCUGACCUGGGCGUCGCCGGAGAAAAUAUUGAUUGCUGGGGGCUCGGUGCUGACCUGGGCGUCACCGGAGAAAAGAUUGCUGCUGGUGUUCAUGAGAAAAAGGGGCUGUGAUUACAAGAUGAAAGGAAAUCUCCAUAUGCUAGCGAGGGACGUGGGUAACAGACGCACGACCCACACUGGCCAGGCGAGAGACCAAGUCAUGUACGGCUUGGAGGUGUCUUCCAACAAGCAGGCUAAAAACAAUGUCAGUGCUUGCUGUCAAUUAGAUGCCUAUCUCUUCCGGUCAAUAAAAAAGAGAUCUCACGGCAUGGAGGGACACCCAAGCUCCAUAAUUCGGUCGCACGGAGUUGCUCCGUUUGUCAUGCUCGCCGGCCACCCAAGCUCCAUCUACUGGGUGCCAUAGCCGGUCUGCUGCCAUCUUCUUAGGUACAAUUAAUGUCAAGUAAGGUGGGUGAGAAAAUUAUCGGUGCAGGACAAUUGAAGUGGAGGUGUGAUCGCUGCAUUGGGAUCAAUGAUUACUUAAGAGACAAAGGUUUGAUUUAGUUGCGGCAAUGGCAAGAGCAUAUUUUGCAGAGGAAGAGGAUGAACCUUAAUGCGUUGAACCUUGUAUACUAGAACCUUGCAUGUGUUUUUGCACAAGUAUUAUGUUGUGUACAUGUAAAAUUAUUUUGAUGCGCCCUUGUUAGGCGUUGAACCUUAA